GCUGAGCUGAGUUGAUUGCUGGUAGUUUCUUGGUGUCUCCCUUUUCCCCUUCACUUCCUUCUCCACUGUAGUUGAGAGCUUCAGUGGUUUAUUGCUGAAGACUUUGGGGUUUUUUCCCGUUUCUGCGUGCAUGAAUCACCGAGAAUCAACGGUUUAUGAAUUAAAGCACCGGUUACGCUAA